UUUAAAAACUCAAUAUAAUUUCCAAGUUUACAUUAAUUUCAGAUGUUGAUGAAUGCUUGAAUGGUGAUCCAUGUGGUAGAAACAGAGCUUGUGUGAACACUAAGGGUGGUUACGAAUGUAUCAAUGCAAGAUGUCCAAAUGCUUACUUCGUUAGAAGAUCGACAACGUAAGACUUGUUAACAUGCAUGUGACAUGACCCAAAUAACUUCAGAAUUAUCUAGCUUGGACAUGCAUGCUCAUGACAGAAUAGAAACAGUCUUUCAACGUUUCAAUUAAGUCAGGUUAUUAGGUUUCAUUACUCUGGAUAGUUCCAGCUAGAACUAACUGUUAUUGAAGAUAAGUAUAGUUCAAUUUUAUCUGUUUUAGACAUUGCACUCGCAAGGCCUGUCAAUUGAACGAUGUCCCAUGUCGCAGUGAGACGCGCAAAUCAAUUCGUUGGCACGGUCGUAGUUUACCAAAUAAUGCAGGACCUGGUGCCUUUUCUUACAUGUAUAAUAUUACGACUACAGGUAUUACGACCUCAUCACUAUAGCUUAUUCCUACUAAGCAAUGUUAAGGUCAUUAUUGUUCAAGAGCUGCAUGUGAUUGAAUCCCCCCCCCCCCCCCCCCCAACUCCUCUGUACAUAGGCGUACUGUGGUGAUGCUUAUCUUUAGUGCACCUAUAUACAAACUUGAAAACUACAUCUUGUUGCCUCUCCUGCUGCUGUAACCAGGCUGUAGUUUUUUAGUUGGUAUAUGCGCAGAAGAGAUGCGCAGACAGUGGCAUAACUCCUUUCACCUCACCUAUGCACCUGCUCUACAGACAAGCCUGUGGUUGAAGCUCUCAAGCUCCUUAAGCUUUUAGAAAGAACUCACCUAGCUAAAUGCUUAAACUGCUUUUUAGGUUAUAGAGUUAGGCCUCUGGUUGAGUUCAGUAUAAAGAGAGGUGAUGCGGAUGAUGCUUUUGAGGUAAUCAAGCUCGGUUACGGGAAAUCUCACAUUAGAAAUAGAAAAAUUCUGAGAGGGCCACGUAGGUAUGUAUUGGAGUUCGCCGGUGAAGUGAUCAGCAGCGGGCAAGUUACCGCAAGUUUUGUCACCUACCUUCAUGUUUACGUCUCUAGAUAUGAUUUUUAAACAAACAUUAGUAAAGGUCUUGUAGAUUGACUGCAAUCAACAAAUAUAAGAAGAUUGGUAAUCCAGUUUCAAUGAACAGUGCAAGAAAACCAGGUCUAAAAGUUUAUUGGAUAAAUUUAUUGAAACAUUAAUUGUAUAACUGUGUCCUUGAUAGAUAUAUAACCUUUUAGUAUAUGUAACAUUGUAUAACUAGAGUAUAAAUAACAAAGUGUGUUCUAUAUAUUGAAAUACAC